rnacentral:ncRNA from 1 species
ACUUCAUCAAACGGAAAAGGUUUUAUUUAAAAUAAAUUAAUAGGGAAUCGUGUGAAAAUCACGAGCUGUCGCGCAACUGUAAGUAACACACCAAAAGUUUUUGUCCGAGAAUAUCCACUGUGAAAACGGGAAGGAUGACAAAAACUGUUACAAGUCAGGAGACCUGCCUGCUCCGAAUGAUCAAUG